UACGUAGGGGGCGAGCGUUGUCCGGAGUUACUGGGCGUAAAGCGCACGCAGGCGGUGCUGCGCGUUUGGGGUUACAGCUCCCGGCUCAACCGGGAGAGCGCCUCGAAGACGGCAGCACUUGAGGGCCAGAGAGGGACACGGAACUCCGGGUGGAGUGGUGAAAUGCGUAGAUAUCCGGAAGAACACCAAAGGCGAAGGCAGUGUCCUGGCUGGUACCUGACGCUCAGGUGCGAAAGCUAGGGGAGC
rnacentral:rRNA from 1 species